UUGUAAGUAGUGUAGGUAUGCGUGGAAAUAAUUUUAACAUUCUUGAAUUUUUUUAAACAUUUUAACAAAUUUUUGCAAGAAUAAGAAAAACUAUACUUUUUCCACAAUAGAACUUUAAAAUAUCUACUUAAAGAAAACACAUUUAGUUCUGACUUUUGCUUUUUUUAUAAGUGUUAAAAUACUUCUGUAAUUAAGCAGAUGUAACCUGUAUAGUACAUAUAGUUAAGUAGAGGAUCUGUUGCUCACUAGUUUGAAACAGUUUAUCAUCCAGCUGAUUCAGAAGAUUUUUAAUUGUGUCAAAAAAUUAUCUGUUCAACUUCAGUGUUUCUAGUUUAUGGACUAAUGAUAAAAUGUGAUGUGGGUUUGUGAUGUUAAGUUGGCUUUCUUUAGUGAUGUUUCUCUAUAAAAGUGAUCUAUAUAGGAAUUACAUAGAGGGUAAUAUAGCACAAGUUGUGAAAACUAGAGUUUGUGAACAAUAGAAACUGACAAUAAAUGUAGUUUAUUGAGGAUUUUUUACUUUAAUCUAAAAAUGCUAAAAGAUUAGAGAACCACGUAAAAAUUGCCAUUACCUCUUUUCUACUUACCUUUUCACUUGUUUUAUAUCAUUUACUGCUUCUCAAGAAAACAGUUUGUAAUUAGUUACCUAAAUUAAGUAAAAUUCAUUUUACUAUUGUUCUCGUCUGUUAGUUUAUGCAUCACAAGUGUUUUAUUAUUUUGUCUCCAAAGCUUAAUUUUGAUAACACAUGAUGCCUCCAAUUUUUUAUAAUUUUGAACCUCAGUGCUGCCUUUAUUUUAGCAUAUGGUGUUGAUCAAGGGUAAUGUUUUAUUAUUACCUUGAAAUCAGCAAGGAAAGAAAAAUAAAGAGGACCUUGCUCAUUAUGGUUGUGUGAUUUACUGAGUAUGUUUUUAUUGUUAUACUUAGUAUAGUGAGGCCCUACACUGAGUUGAUAGCAAUUAAAAAUACUUAGAAUAUUUCCAGAAAAAAAAAUAACAACAUAUAUUCCUAUAUAUAACUUACAGGUGAAUUUUAGCCAAACAUUUCUAAAACUACUGUGGUGGCACAGAAAUUGUGGAUAUCUCUUAAAAACAUUUACAGUACACUUAUAUUUGUACAUGAUAGAAGAUAUUUCUGUGGUCUCAUGAGAGUUAAAAUCCUAAACGUUGCUUAUUGCUGAGAUUACUUUCUUUGGUGUCUAACUAGUAUUGUAACAUAUAUAAAGAGAGGCUUUUUUUAAAAAAAAAAUAAAAGAAACUAAGAUAUUACUUCAAACUACACUAGUUUGUAUUUUGGCAGGAAAUUGUUACAAGUUAUGUUAUGAUUUUGAUGUCCAUUCUUGGUGACCCUGUCAUGUGGGUUUUAUAUUUCAUUUGCUAAGCAUCAACUUUUAUAAAAUGCAUUGAAACUUUAUGUUGUUUAUAAGAAAUCCACCAUUCGUAGUGAAUAUAACAUAAUGUGGAAUUAUCUAUUUACAGAGGAAUCAAAAAAUAUAAAUUCUUCUCUUGAUUGCAUUCAUUAAAAAGAAUCUGCAAGUGAUGAAGAAACCCUCACUAUCAUGUUUUCAUAACUUCAGUACAAGUGUACUUACUUUUGCAUGUAGAAGUUUACUGUUCUUUAGAUAGGUGGCACGUGGCAACCAGAAAUCAGAAAAGAAAAAUACUCCUUUUUUUAAUGCAUUUGAAGAACUGAAUCUGCCUGUGGUCAAGAAGCUCCUGCUAUCAGAUUUUAAAAUCUACACCUGUAACUUCAAUGUAAGUGUACUGAUUUUUUUUUUUACAUGUAAUGGUUUACUGUUCUUUAGGUAGGUGGCACAUGGCAACUAGGAACCAUGGAAGCGUGAGAAAGUAUGCAUGGAAAACAAUGACUGUUAACACUGACAGUGGCAUUCGUUACCAGUGUCCGGAUUGUUACAAGCUCUUCAUCUCUAACAAAACACUACAACAUCACCAUUUUUUUCAGCACCAGCACCACAAGGCUUUCAAAUGUCUGGGUUGUGGGAAGGACUUCACUAGAAAGUCUAAUCUUGUCAGACAUGCAACUGUCACUACCUGUGGGACAAGUCAGAAUUUGGAUAUUCUACUACAAGACAACUGAAACCUUGCUGCUGUGGAAACUGGAUGCAGAUGAGCAAUUUGUGGAAAUCCAUUUUGAACACCAUCGCUUCUGCUUCUAACACUUACUCUUCACAGCUUUUUCAUAAUCACACACACACACAGUAUAAUCUGCUUUCACAACUGUUGAGUUUGAAGAACAUAAACUGUCAUCAUAUAAAAUCUGUAACUGAGUAAAAUUUGGAAAUGCUUUAUACAUGGAUUUAUUCUAUUUAAGAAAUAUCUAACUGCGUUUUUGUAUUUGUUGUAUUCAAAGAGUGUGAAUAAUAAUGAUACAUUCAUUAUUUCUAACAUCAACUACCUGUAGAGACUUAUUUUGUUCUGUCUUGUUAUUCCUGUGAUUGUGAAUAGAAUUUGUUAAUCUUUCAUAAUAAAAGUAUGCUUUUUGGUUGUACCAACCCUAGGUUAUCCUCGCUACCAGUGGUCUAGACUUGCUGUUGAAACUUCAGAUGGAUUGAGGUACCUUUGCCCUGAAUGUCUGAAAACCUUUCGAUCCCCUGACUCUGUUAGAAUGCACCAUAUGUACUCCCACAGGUCCAUCAGGAGCUUUGAGUGUCAGCGAUGUCGCAAAAUUUUCAAAAGAAACAGUGACUUGAAGACUCACAAUCGGAAACGUUGCAAAGACUGACUUUUAUCUCUGAAGACUCACAAUCGGAAACGUUGCAAAGACUGACUUUUAUCUCUGAAGAUUCACAGUUGGAAGUGUUGCAAGGACUGAUUUACCUCUGAAGAUUUGUAUUUACAAAUGUUGCAAGGACUUACUUAUCUCUCUCAAGAUUUGCAACUGCAAUUGUUGCAAAGACUGACUUAUCUCUCUCAAGUCCUGCAACUGUAAUGUUACAAAGACUGAUUUUUCAUUUUGGCCCCUACUUCAACUAUAAACUUCUUAGGGGUUCAUGACAUUUUUUGUGGUUCCUCCUCUUUUGCUUCUGUACUAUCCUAAACAUGUAAAUACUAGAGACGUACAGCGCAUUUAUAGAAUUGCCAGUUUAUCUGCAUUUGUGAUAUACAAAGUACAUUGUCACAAGGCAGUUUUAUAGGUUAUUGACAAAAUCUUUGGGCAAUAUCAAGUAUCACUGGUAUGGUUUUGUACAUUUUGUUGUGAAUAAAGGUAUACAUUCCAAACAUACA
rnacentral:lncRNA from 1 species